rnacentral:misc_RNA from 1 species
CAGAGUUGCAAAACUCCCUAAACCCACUGUGAAUCUACCUGUUUUUUAGCUACUUCGGCAGGCGGCCCCAGGGCGGGGCCAUCAGCCUUUUAGGUGCCUGCCAGAGUACACAAAACUCUUGCUGCAACUGUACUACUCUGAGUUUCAAAAACAAUUCAAGUUA